AUAUACAGCCAUACCACCCUGAGCGUGCCCGAAUCUCGUUCUGAUCUCGGAAGCUAAGCAGGGUCGGGCCUGGUUAGUACUUGGACGGGAGACUGCCUGGGAAUACCAGUGGCUGUAAGCU
rnacentral:rRNA from 1 species